rnacentral:tRNA from 1 species
GCCCCCAUCGUCUAGAGGCCUAGGACACAGCCCUUUCAAGGCUGCGACGGGGAUUCGAAUUCCCCUGGGGGCCCCA